CACUAAGUACACAUACAGUGGUACUCAUAGAAGAAGAUGUUCCAAGUUUAUGUUGCUUUUGUAAAAAUUAUUUCCACUCAUUCAUACAUACCAGUAUAUAAUUUCUAAGCUACGAGGAUACCAACAAUCACUGGAAAUGGCCUUUAUAAGCUCACAUCACAGCAGAGCAAGUUUUAGGAACAUAAAGCUAUGGCUGUUGCACAGAAUGUCAGAUACUAUGGGGAUCUGGGAGGCUGGGGUAUGUAGUGGUGAAAGUCAUCUGGUGUGAGAACAGCAGGGAACCCCUACAGCCUGGUGCUAGCUCAGACCACAAACCAGGGAGUGUCCACUUGUGCCCUCUCGAGGAGCACCAUCUGCCUUGCCUGCCAUUUGGAGAGACACAGGAUGAACUUUACAAACAUAAUUUGGAGCUGAAUUUUUCAUAUUUGGAUCGCGCUUCACAAGACUCUUACCUUUCCAUUCAGUGUAAAUAAGCAGAAAUUAUCAUUUUGACUUGCUUUACAAAAUACAUAGAAACAGCUUUUCAAAGUCUCUCUUAAAUCAAAUAGCGUAAGUCUCACAUUUGUUUGUGUUUGCACCCUUUUAUGAGCUCUAGGAGGCUGUGAUUUCCAUUGCUGUGUAAAUCACAUCUGCUCAUAAGCUGUGGUUUUAAAAACACCACACAUCUGUAGUAUCAAAUGUGUGCAAAUUAGAGAAUUAUAUGACAUUACCAGUCACUUACAUGCAAAUGUAAGUGUCAUUUUUUGUGUGGUAUUAUUUUAAGUUGCGCUAUUCUGUACCAUAAACUACAGUCACCUACUCUCUACUUACACAACAGUCCAAACAGGAGUUUCCUCUUUGCAGUCAUUUUCAUUGUAGCCAUAUAGGCAGGUACUCCAAUCAGGAAUAUAAGUGACAACCUGUUAUGUGCCCUGAAGCUUGCUUACAGUCAUUCUUCAUAGGUGGCCUGGUCACCAUACUCAUUAGUUUUGAGUAAAUAAAAUGUGGUCUUUGGUGUUUUGGAGUUCUACUUGCUGGUAAAAGAGGUAGUUUUUUUUCUUGAACAGUCUGGAAAAGGGGCACUUUUCUGGCUUUACUUUCUUCAUGUACUCUUGGUGAUGUACUUUUGAUGAUGGUCCCAGACUGAUCAGAGCCACUGUCUUUAAAUCUAAGAUCUGGAUGUGGGCAAGUGGUACUGUUGGUCAAUUAUACCCCCUCUUCCAACACUGUAAAAGCAGUUGUACUGUGACACAUUUGCUCUAUUUUUCUACCUCUAAGCAUCUCAAGAUACUGCGUCAGCAAGAUUUUCCUUCUCCUAUUUCAUAGUCCAGUUCCUAUUUCCAACGUUUUUUCACUUAAGUUCUUUUAAUAUCUGCUCAUAAGAAUGUUCUGCUUUAAAUUAAAAGUCUAUGUGUUUUAGUCCUCACUCCAGUUUUUCUUUAGACAAAUAUUUGGACAAAACUUGAACAAAAAUUUCAGAACACCCAGUAUUACUUAUAAGCAUUAUUAGUGAAGCUUAACGAAGCAAUUAUGCAGAAGCUGUUAUCAUCUUCACCUUUCAUACAGUCAAAAUAAAUUACAGAUAAAUUAAUUCAUGACUCAAUCAAGGUUGUGCAGCAAAUUAUUGGUAGCAGCUGGACAUGGAGCCAAGGAACUCUAACACCCACACUCCUGCUGAAAUGAUAUACCCUGAAAACACCAGGACUGCCUCAGACUCAGAGCUACUUACAUUCCUCUCAAAUGAUUGAAGUGUUUUUAGACCAUGAAAAUUAAAGAAAGGAAAAAUAAUGUAAAUCAGUGUCUGUUUCUACAUUGUUUUCUCUCCUGAGAAUAAAAGACUUCUUUUUCUUGUUUUAAUUUGUUCUUACAGUAGAUAUUGGCAAGCUGAAAGUUGAAGUAAAAUAGGAAAAAAUAACAAGCAUAUUUUGAGUGAUUACUCAACUGGGGUCCUUUGUGACAGGAAAUGCAGCUGCGUGACUAAUGGGCCUGACUUUCUCUUGGCUUCCUUCCCCCUUCAAAGAUCUUGUUUACUGCCCCAGCCAAUUUUUUUUUUCAAAUUGCUAGAAGCUAGCAAUUUUCCAGGGAAAAAAAAAAGAUCUCUGCAAGAGGCAAAGGCAGUAAAUCUUGCAAAGAUCAAGGGCUGCAGUGCUCUCCCCAUCUACUCCUUUUAGCCUUCCAGGCUCUUGAGUCACAUCAUAUCUUCCCCUGCUCCACUUAGAACAUGUGUCUAGCAGAUCUUUCUGCUUUGGUGAGAGGAGGGAGUAUGUGAAUCACAUUUACAGAGUUUAGCCCUGGAAUUCAUAAAGGAAGGGCUAAUUCCAUUAAGGAAACCAGGGGCCUCCUAAGCCUCUUGCAUUUUGUCUCUUUUUAUUAUUUUUUCUCACUCGCUCUCUUUUAGCAACAGUUGUGCACUCAUAAUCCAUGAUGAUGUGACUGAGGGUAACCAAAGGUGGGCCUGGGCCUGGAUCUCUCCUGAACUUGAUGGGAAAAGGAUCAGUGUAUCCAAGCUUCACCUUCUCCCUACCAUGCAACAAAAACCCAAGUCCCUUCUCAUUUUGCUGUGCCAAUCUGUGUGGGAACUGCUGAGUCAGGCCUGAACCUCUGAUUGAUCACCUGAGGCGAGCCAUGAGUCAGCCAGAGGAGCACAGCUGAAGGCAAUUCACCUGUGCUGCAGGAAGGGGUGGAGCCUGGCUGCACCUCUCCUAGACCUAUUUAAGAGCUGACUGCCAGUAGGGAAGGAUCUCUUCUGGAGGUUGCCUCUACUGGUGUUUUGUGGGUGAGCCCAGGAUAAGGGUAAGCCUUCUAUUUUUUCUCUUUUGCUAUCAUAGUCUACUUUGCCUAAAUCUCUUGUUUAGUUUGUGAUUAUAACAUCCUAAUAUUCUUUGAUUAUACACAAUCAUACUGCAAUUCCUUGUCUUCAUUCUGAUCAUGGUGGAACAGCAGGCAGAUACUUCCAAAAAAAUCCAGCAGAAUUAAAAACUUGCAAUGAAAA